rnacentral:rRNA from 2 species
GCGCAACCCUUAUCCUUUGUUGCCAGCGAUUCGGUCGGGAACUCAAAGGAGACUGCCGGUGAUAAACCGGAGGAAGGUGGGGAUGACGUCAAGUCAUCAUGGCCCUUACGAGUAGGGCUACACACGUGCUACAAUGGCGUAUACAAAGAGAAGCGAACUCGCGAGAGCAAGCGGACCUCAUAAAGUACGUCGUAGUCCGGAUUGGAGUCUGCAACUCGACUCCAUGAAGUCGGAAUCGCUAGUAAUCGUAGAUCAGAAUGCUACGGUGAAUACGUUCCCGGGCCUUGUACACACCGCCCGUCACACCAUGGGAGUGGGUUGCAAAAGAAGUAGGUAGCUUAACCUUCGGGAGGGCGCUUACCACUUUGUGAUUCAUGACUGGGGUGAAGUCGUAACAAGGUAACCGU